rnacentral:lncRNA from 1 species
AGGUCAUUUACCUUUAUCUGUGCACUUAUUUUUCUCUUUUCAUUUCAGCUAAGUAAAUUGUAAGUCUGCACGUAGCCUCCCGGGCUCGUCUGAGCAAUUUUUACAUGAAGUUAGCAGCCCCAAAGCUCGUGCUAUAUCUACCGCCGCUAGUGUUGCAGUUUAGCCCUUUUGUACCUUCUUUACUCUUGGCUUAUCUGUGUCAAGAUCAACGGUUAUAUUUUAAUCCUCUAUACACUAUUUUUAUGUUAAUUUCUUUAUUUAAUUUAAACAAAAAAAUGCCUCCUAUCACCUUUUGCUUAUUUUCUUCUGAUUCAGUGAAAACACAAAGCUAGUCAACGAGGCUGAAAUUAAAACAGCAGUGUCAACGUGGGGUUUAUUGCAUUUUCUUACUGUUUUACUCCUAAGUCCACUGCUCUUUUGCUUUAUCUGUGUCAAAAUCAACGGCUAUAUUUUAAUCCUCUUUACACAAUAUUUUUAUGUUAAUUUCUUCAUUUAAUUUAAACAAAAAAUGCCUCAUAUCACCUUUAGCUUAUUUUCUUCUUACUCAAUGAAAAAACAAAGCUAGUCAACGAGGCUGAAAUUAAGAAGCAGUGUCAACGUGGGGUUUAUUGCAUUUUUCUUACUGUUUUACUCCUAAGUCCACUGCUAUAUUGUAAAUUUUUGUUUUUUAAAUUUGUUUUUACGUUGGCUAUGAUUUAAAAGUUUAUCCGCGCUUCUGAGAGCAAUCUGUGAAGUAUACGAUAAAAUAAUGGUUGAAUUUCUUAAUAUGAGCCUAUAAUUUCUUAUUUUUCGCAUUUUAUUUACUAUGAAUUGAGUUUUUGAAAAAACCAUUAUUUAGGUUAUUUGAUUUUUCGGCAGUGAUGAUAUAUAAAUACAGCUUUAAUGCCAGUUCUGCUUCUGAAAAUCCGUGAUUGAUAGAGCUGUUUAUUUCUCUGAGCCUCAAUUUCAUUAAAUAAAUUAUGUUUUGUACUUAAUUUUGUUAUCAUUUUUGUUGUAAGAAUAAUUAUAUAUGUGAAAUGUUUUAUGUAUUCUUAUGUUUAGCUAUGUAUAAGUAGUUGACUUAGCGUAAUUGUACAAGUGGUAGGUUUUGUAUAAAGGUAACAAUUUCAUGAAUAUUUUGAGUAUUGAGAAAAAUGUUUGUGAGAUAAAUAAAGUAUUGUUGUUUCCAUAUUGAGGAAUGAUGACCUUUUCUUGUUAAAAAGAGGCCAGUGAUGUAUGGUAAUUGUCCGUACCAUCUGAGGAGUUUAACAACUCCUUUGAUUUUAUAUUUACCUUAAUUUCUGAGGUCUGUUUAAUCUUCCUCGUAAAUCAUUAUUUUUAACAAGUGACUAAAGUUAUAUAAUAGCAUUUUAUCUAGUAAAAGUUUUGGUUUUAUAGCCUAGUUGCUGGUAGCUUGGUGCACAAGGGCUGCACCCCGGGCAGCGUGGUGUAAACAACCUUACCAAACAUUAGUGAUUGCUUCCACGGCUUUUACUUGUGACAACUAGCAUACUUGUAGAUAAUAUUACCGUUGCUCCAAGGCUUAUUGCCUAGUUGCUGAUGAUGAUAUAGUCUAUUUGAUAUGAGAUGUAGUAGAUCCAAGUCCCUGCUUUUGCAGGGGGAACCUCUUGGUGAAACUACAUUACAAAUGAUCAUAUUGGAUUCUUCUGAAACUAUAAGUUUUUGAGCUUUUCAAAAUGGAUUUUUUUCUAACUUCUUGAUAUGCUGAAAAUAUGAGUUUCACUAUACCCUUACUCUUUAAAUGUGGAUGUAGGGUCUGAUAAACUCAUAUAGUUAAGUGCUCUCAUCAGCUUCUUACUUGUACCAAACAUGUUUGGAGUCAAAUAAAAGCACUACAUUUUUUGCCUUUUUAGUUCAUCUAAUUUCCUUUUGUUUGUUAGAGUUGAAGAAAUUGUGAUUGUUUGUUAGUGAGAGUUGCAAUAUUAUUGAAGUCUGAUCAAGUAUAUCUGAUACAGUUUAGGACCAUAUUCACUAUUUGAUGAUUAACAAAAGGUGAUCAUCACGUUUUACUCUUUGAGCAGGUAGUGAAAAUGGUUCUAAAUUGUUUUGGACAUACUUUAUCCUAGCCGAUGUUGGAGUCUUUUAAAGGAUUAUGACUGGUUCUGGUACCUAUUUCUCUUGUACUUGUGUUGAUUAUUGAUGUCACAGCAC